rnacentral:rRNA from 1 species
UACGGGGGGGGGCAAGCGUUGUUCGGAUUCAUUGGGCGUAAAGGGUGCGUAGGCGGCGCGGUAAGUCGGGUGUGAAAUCUCGGGGCUUAACUCCGAAACUGCAUUCGAUACUGCCGUGCUUGAGGACUGGAGAGGAGACUGGAAUUUACGGUGUAGCGGUGAAAUGCGUAGAUAUCGUAAGGAAGACCAGUGGCGAAGGCGGGUCUCUGGACAGUUCCUGACGCUGAGGCACGAAGGUCAGGGGAGCAAACGGG